rnacentral:rRNA from 1 species
UACGUAGGGCGCAAGCGUUGUCCGGAAUUAUUGGGCGUAAAGAGCUCGUAGGCGGCUUGUCACGUCGGAUGUGAAAGCCCGGGGCUUAACUCCGGGUCUGCAUUCGAUACGGGCUAGCUAGAGUGUGGUAGGGGAGAUCGGAAUUCCUGGUGUAGCGGUGAAAUGCGCAGAUAUCAGGAGGAACACCGGUGGCGAAGGCGGCGACCUGGGCCAAUAUUGACGCUGAGACACGAAAGCGUGGGUAGCAAACAGG